AUGCUUAAUAAUAUCAAAAGAGGGAAAAAGAAAAACAAACAAAACAAAACAAAAAAAACCACGCAAAAACGCGAGAGAAAAGAAGGACACUUGAUUUCAAAUUGGAUGAACGCUGUCGUCUCCACACGGGUUGGGAAAGACUUGGUAUACAUCAAUAAAUUAUUUAACACGCUUUGCCUUCAGCGCGUUUUCGCCCGUGGUGCCGCUUUUUCCUCAGCCCGGGCCGGAGGGGCCGCACCUCCGCGCUGCGGGAAUCGCGGCUGGACGCGGGGCGGAGCAGCUCGUAGUGCCCGAGGACCGUCGCCGGCCGGGGACACCGACCCUGCCCCGCUCCGUUCCCGCGGCGCUCCGCGGGCGGCUUUCGGGCGGCAGCGCUCUGCGGGGCGGGGGUGGCGCGGCGGGGCCGGGACUGAGCCGGGAAGGCCGAGUCCGACAGCGGGUCGGGAGCGGCGUUCGGUACCGGGUGGAAUUCUCGCGCGCUGUGGCCGCGCCGUCUCCGCGGCGGGAACGUACGAGAGACGCGGUGAGUCUGAGCGGGCACCGCGACGCUCGGAGUCGGGGGUCAGACCGCACCGGCUGCCGGUACGGAAAAGCCGUCGGGCGGCAGCGGCAGCAGCAGCAGCAGCAGCGGCCUUUUGCCGCGGGGAGCGGAAGGCGGAGCCCGGACGGCGGCCACAGAACGGCCCCUUCGGGCAGAACCGCGGCGGGGACCAUCGCCAGAGCCGCCUCCUCCACCGCCAGCCUCGGCCCGCAGCGCCCGCGUCCGCGGCUCGGGACCGCCAGCCCGACGGCAUUCCGAGGCCUCGCAGCCGCCGGGCGCUGCGCUGUUCUCGAGAGUAUUGGAGGCCGGGCGGGCGCGGGGCAGCUUCGCGGUGGAGCCGCUUUCGGUUCCGCUACUUUUUUACACGAACGAGACUCGAUUUGUGCCUCUCAGCUGCCGCGGGGCAGCCCCAGGCGGUGCUCGAGCUGCGGCCGCGUCCCGCACAGCCGUGCGGCGCUCCCGACAUGCGGAGCAGGAGCCGCCCGCGGAGCCGCCCCGCACUGUCCGCCGUGUCUCGGGGCCGGGCGGAGCGCAUCCUGCGUGGGCAGCCCGCAUUGUGGCGCGGGGCAGUCCUCGUUCUGCCGAGCCGCCAACGGGCUCUGCGGGGCCGCACUGCGCCGAGCCGAGCCGAGCCGCCCCACAGACGGAGUUAA
rnacentral:lncRNA from 1 species